GUUACAUUGCUAAUUCUAACUGCUGCUGUGAUAAGAAGGCCAACCGAUCAAUUGGUUCUUUGAUGAAAUACUCUUGUUACACUUGGCUUCUGAGCGUCUU
rnacentral:snoRNA from 1 species